rnacentral:rRNA from 1 species
AUUGAACGCUGGCGGCAGGCCUAACACAUGCAAGUCGAACGGUAGCACAGAGAGCUUGCUCUUGGGUGACGAGUGGCGGACGGGUGAGUAAUGUCUGGGAAACUGCCUGAUGGAGGGGGAUAACUACUGGAAACGGUAGCUAAUACCGCAUAACGUCGCAAGACCAAAGAGGGGGACCUUCGAGCCUCUUGCCAUCAGAUGUGCCCAGAUGGGAUUAGCUAGUAGGUGGGGUAACGGCUCACCUAGGCGACGAUCCCUAGCUGGUCUGAGAGGAUGACCAGCCACACUGGAACUGAGACACGGUCCAGACUCCUACGGGAGGCAGCAGUGGGGAAUAUUGCACAAUGGGCGCAAGCCUGAUGCAGCCAUGCCGCGUGUAUGAAGAAGGCCUUCGGGUUGUAAAGUACUUUCAGCGAGGAGGAAGGCGAUACGGUUAAUAACCGUGUCGAUUGACGUUACUCGCAGAAGAAGCACCGGCUAACUCCGUGCCAGCAGCCGCAGUAA